rnacentral:snoRNA from 1 species
ACUCUUUAUGAUGACAAACAUCUAAACAUUACUUAUUUCUGGUACCUCUUAUGCCAGAAGAGCCUGCUUUAUCGCGGGUUCCUUCGAUGAUCUAAAUGGACUUCUGAUC